rnacentral:rRNA from 1 species
CAAUAAGCGGAGGAAAAGAAACCAACAGGGAUUACCCUAGUAACGGCGAGUGAAGCGGUAACAGCUCAAAUUUGAAAUCUGGCCUUUACGGGUCCGAGUUGUAAUUUGUAGAGGAUGUUUCGGGCAAGGCUCUGGUUUAAAUUUCUUGGAACAGAAUGUCAUAGAGGGUGAGAGUCCCGUCUAGAACCGAUGGCCGCGUCCAUGUGAAACUCCUUCGACGAGUCGAGUUGUUUGGGAAUGCAGCUCAAAAUGGGUGGUAAAUUUCAUCUAAAGCUAAAUAUUGGCCAGAGACCGAUAGCGCACAAGUAGAGUGAUCGAAAGAUGAAAAGCACUUUGAAAAGAGAGUUAAACAGUAUGUGAAAUUGUUGAAAGGGAAGCGCUUGCAACCAGACUUGCGUGUAGCGGUUCCCCCGGUCUUCUGACCGGGCUAUUCCGUUAUAUCCAGGCCAGCAUCGGUUCGCGUGGUUGGUUAAAGGUCUCGGGAAUGUAUCUACCUUCGGGUCGACUUAUAGCCCGGGGCGUAAUGCGGCCUACUCGGACCGAGGAACGCGCUUUUGCUCGGAUGCUGGCGUAAUGGUUGUAAGCGGCCC